GUCUCUUUCUCUCUGUUUCAAAUUCCAAUUACUUAGCUUCCUUUGAAUUGUAGUUUUCAUCAUCUAUUUUUUUUAAUUAAAAAUAAAUAAUAAUCUCAAGUGGGAUGAAGAUUUCUAAUAAAUAAUUUGAAGCUCUAACUUUUUUGCUUCUUUGAAUCUCCAGUGGGUAGUGACAACAAGUGGCAUGAGGAUUGUUUGUACAAGACAUUUUACUUCAAAGUUUAAAUUGAUGAGCUCGUUCAAUUGUUUUAUUGAAGACUAAAUCUGCUGAAAGGUUCACAGUUGAAAUCUAAAACAGGCUUUUCUUUUUGGGAUAUUGGGAACUAUUACGGUGUUCAGCUUCUUGAUGCUUCAGUGACAAAGUACCAAGAUUAUGUUCAAAAUUUGGAUGCAUUAUCAUAGUAAAGAUGGUGAUAUCAAGAUUUGUUCAGAGCAAGGGAAGGGUAUUGCAAGUUGAAUUCAUUGGCUAAGGUUUAAAGAACAUGCAAUAUUGCAGUGAAAUAUUCAUCAGAAAGUUCCUUGGCAG